GGGCGUGUGGCUCAGUUGGUAGAGCGUUCGCUUAGCAUACUUGUUUCUUACGACGCAUGCGAAAGGUCCUGGGUUCGAUUCCCAGCUCGUCCA